AUGUUCUGCAAUAUCUCAAUGUACUUAUUUGCUAGAAGGAACCCAAGACCCAAACAGCCACAAAUGCUUGCUGGGCUCACUGGUUAAGAAUGGUUGGUGGUUUGCAAAAUAUAAAUAGAAGAAACGAUAACCAGUUUCAGCCAGUCUGACGCCACGAAAAAAAAUCAGAUGCAUAAGUAAUGAGCCAGUGUGCAGCAGCGUCUUCAUGAGUUCAGAUCCGGAGCCCUCCGUCAGUGGCGACCAUACUGCCUCUGUUACUGGCAUUCCCACCCGACGUCAGAUGCUGGAAACCCACGCCGCCUCUAUCCGAGGCUUGGGGGCCAUUCAGGGCUUCAAAAUGGUACCGUCCCGAGAAGGAACCCCAGAAAAUGCCAUCCUUCCUCUUCCUUGAAUGGAGGCGGGACAGUCACUCUCCCCCUCCAUCCUCUGGACCUCCGAGGCUCCGGAGGCGGCUGCCCCCUCCUGUUCUCACCCCACAAGCUCUUCCUCCUCCUCUCCAUCCCCUUUAACUUGGCUUUAGCCUUCCAGAGUGGGCAGCCCUAACGAGGUGCUCUGAGAGAGGCCUUUUUUUCUUUUUAAAUCAUGGUUCAAAAAAAUAUACACAGCACAGCGGGUACCCUCUGAACCAUCUCGAGGUGUGCCGGUCAGUGGCUUGAAGCACAUUCAUGCGGUGGCCAAGCGUCUCCGCCCUCCACCCACAGGACUCUUUUCAUCUUGCACAACUGAAAGUCUGUCCCCAUCAAACAGGAAUGCCCCACCCCUCUCCGCCCACCAUCCUCUUCUCUGUCUCUGUGAGUCUGAUGAUGCCAGGAGCCUCAGAGAAAUCAUCUGGGAUGUGUCCUUGGUGCCUGGCUCAUUAUUCAUGGAGCAUCAUGUCGCCAAGGUUCAUCCGCGUUGCUGCCUGUAUCUGAUUUCCUUCCUUGCGAGAGGUGAGUAAUAUUCCAUUGCGUGUGUAUACAAAGUAGUCACCUUUAACCAGAUUUUAAAGCAAGACUGUGACUCGUUGCCUUGGCAGAGUUUUGGGUACCACACAGGGGAAGCUGGCACAUCUUCCCAACGUCCUGCUGGAGAAGCAAGAGGAGGUCUGAUGCUGGGCUCACCAGGAACACCACGCAGCUUCCAGGCUGACCCCAUUCCCUUGGUUUAAUUCACCCACAACUUUUCUCCCAGUCUCAGCUUGGGAAGCCCUCAUGUUCAGGGUUUUUUCUACAUCCUUGUUCUUCAGAAGGAACUGCGGCUCCCUAGGUGAGUCUCUGCCCACCCCGCCUCCCCGGUUCUGGGCUAAGAUCAGAGGAGCCCUGCCUCAAGCCACCAACUCCGCCCUGCAGGGGACCAAGAUCUCGGGACGCCUCUGCUCCCAGUCCAGAAAAUCUUAGCAGGAACUCUGUGGAAGAAUCAGCCCCAUUGUUCGUGGAGCACUUUGAAGAUGAGGGCAAGACAAAAUGCACAGAGCCCAAGAGCCACGUUAGGCCAAUUAGUAUCGUAGUUUCCAUGCAAAUGACCUCAAGGGGAGGGGAAAAGUGAUUUCUGCUUGUCCCGUACCUUUCUGGGGUCUGAAACUGCCCUCCACACACACACUUGGAAUGUUUUCCAUGGAGGGUCAUCCCCGGCUUCUGAGGCUUCUGCUCUUGUUUUUGUUGAAGGCAUCUUCUGAUCCCCACGAAAAGUGUCACCAUGAAUGACGGCAGGAAAGCAAAACAACACAAGGCUUGGUUGUGUGUUUUUAAAGCCAGUUAAUGAUGGAACAUUAGAGCUAAUGGCUUUGGGAAGGGAAAUUGGAUGCCGAAAGAAGGUACCAUGAGUUAUCUCCUCCUCACUUGAAGUGCCCUCUCAUUUUCCAAUCCUUUCAAGUGCCAGGCUUCUGGGAGCAGCCCUACGCNACGUGUACCUUCCAGGCCAGCAAAUGCAUCUUCUUCCCA
rnacentral:lncRNA from 1 species